rnacentral:lncRNA from 1 species
UUCAAGAACGCAACUAAAAAUUUGUUACCUCAUUGAAAGAUAAUUAGCACACAUGUUACAAUUUUUUUUAAUAUUAGUCCAUCACCACUAUUCCACUAUUGUGAACGUUAUAAUGGACUCUCCACUUUUGCUAUUUGGUAUAAAACCAACCAAAUAUCUAAUUUAUCAAACAAGUCAACCAACACAUUUUACAAGAUCAAAAGCAAAC